rnacentral:rRNA from 1 species
AUUGAACGCUGGCGGCAUGCCUUACACAUGCAAGUCGAACGGAUUCAAGAGGCUUGCUCCUUGAGUUAGUGGCGAACGGGUGAGUAAAGCAUCGGAACGUACCCAGUUGUGGGGGAUAACGUAGCGAAAGUUACGCUAAUACCGCAUACGCACUGAGGUGGAAAGCGGGGGACCGAAAGGCCUCGCGCAAUUGGAGCGGCCGAUGUCGGGUUAGCUAGUUGGUGAGGUAAAGGCUCACCAAGGCGACGAUCCGUAGCUGGUCUGAGAGGACGACCAGCCACACUGGAACUGAGACACGGUCCAGACUCCUACGGGAGGCAGCAGUGGGGAAUUUUGGACAAUGGGCGAAAGCCUGAUCCAGCCAUGCCGCGUGAGUGAAGAAGGCCUUCGGGUUGUAAAGCUCUUUCAGACGGAAAGAAAUCUUUCGGGUGAAUAUCCCGGAAGGAUGACGGUACCUAAGAAGAAGCACCGGCUAACUACGUGCCAGCAGCCGCCGCAG